UGGAUGGAUGGACAUUGAUGGAUGGAUGGAUGGAUGGACAUGGCUGGAUGGAUGGAUGGACGGACAUGGCUGGAUGGAUGGACAUGGAUGGAUGGCUGGAUGGUGACGGACAGUGGCUGCUCUCAGGUACUGUGGCGGGCGGGAGAGAUGGCAGAAUGAAGAUAAACAAAUAUUUAAUCUCUUUAAAAAUUGCACUUUAGAGGGGGAAAAAGUACAUGGAAUUCUGGGAUUAAAGUUUAACAUCGACAAACAGAAAUAAAGCCAGAUGUAGGAUAAUUUCUACACCCGGCCGAUGUCUGAAAGUAGUGAACCAGUACGGUUUUAUAACUACAGGUAGCCUCUAUAAAACCUGCGUGACCCAAAUGGCACCCUACUGCCAAUAUUUUGCACUAAUGACCUAAAUCAUACAGGUCCUGGUCAAAAGUAGUUCACUAAAAGGAAAAUGGGUGCUGCUUGGGACAAGCCCCAAGUGUCAAUGGGUUUUAAUGUUGCUGGUCCAAGUCAGUCACUUGGAAGUCAUCAUUUGUGCCAUUUUUAUUUUAUUUUUAACGAUUGUCUCAUUUUGAAAUGUGAAACAUGUUUUAGGCUCGCAUAUCUUUUUGUAAAUGUUCUUAAAUGAUGAGCAUUCUCAACCUGUUAAAAUCUCUGGUGACUCACAGACAUGAAAUGUGUAUUUCUAAUGUAUUUUACAUGUAUAGUUGAGACCCACUGUCACAGUAGGGUGCCAUUUGUGACACGGUCAUCAUCGUGUCACAACGGCUAACAUUACCUGUCAUAACCUGUUGUCAAAUCAAAUGUUAUUUGUCACAUACACAUGGUUUAGCAGAUGUUAGUGCGAGUGUAGCGAAAUGCUUUGUGCUUCUGGUUCCGACAGCGCAGUAAUAUCUAACAAGUAAUCUAACAAAUUCACAACAAAUACACACAAAUCUAAAGGGGUGAAUGAGAAUAUGUACAUAUAAGUAUAUGGAUGAGCGAUGGCCAAGGUGCAAUAGAUGGUAUAAUAUACAGUAUAUACAUGUAAUAUAAGAUAUGUAAACAUUAUUAAAGUGGCAUUAUUUAAA
ensembl:lncRNA